CAUUUGUGGAGAUUGAUCUAAGAGACACAGUUGAAGAGAUAAUGGAAGACAUCUUGAUAGAGGAGAAGCAACCUGAAAAGGAGGAAGGACCACAGGAAACAGAGCCCCCAAGCCCCUGGCUGUGCUGCUUUCCAAACUGGACCAAGUGGAACAAGCAAAAGGAAAAAACAGUAGUCACAAAUAGGAAUUCCAACCUUUGAAUAUGAGGGCCAACAUAGAUCAACCUGGAAAGGCCAGCUGAGAAGCAAGCACUAAUUAAAUUAAGAAGAAACAGAGAUCUAGACUGGUGUAUUCUUGUCCUUGU